AAUAUCAAUUAACAAACCCAACUUUACACUGAACCUGUUCAGCCGACGCUCAUGCAACGAACGCACCGUUACACCAAGUUACACUGAACCCGUGCGACGCUCCUGAAACGAACGCACCAUGGUUCGAGCGAGCUGUCACUUUUUUUACUCGCGCGUGUCCGAUCAUGUUCGUGUUGACGGUGUUUGCUGAAGUUUUAGGGGAAACCCGGAUUUUUCGCGUUGAGGCGGUCGUUUAAGCCAAUUGGCAACAUCCGGCGAUUGGCAAUCAAGUUGCCGAACGCGAUCCUAGUGUUGGUGGACGGAUGUUCGAAGUUCGAAUUGGAGCGGCUCCGGGAUGGCGGAACUUUGGGGACUUCUUCCACACGUUUCCGGCAGAAAAAAUCUGCCGAGUCACCGAUCCGGAAAAGCAAAUUUGAAAUUGUCAACCAUUUUGGGGACUUCUCCCACCGGGUUCGCUAACGGGACACAACCCAACGGAUGCGUUCGAUUGGGAGAGGACCCGGCGCCUGCUGCGGUCACUUUCGGCCGUGUUUGUUCCGGAUGGUGAGCUCGUCUCGCCUGGAGGCGAAAAUCGUUAGGGGCUAAUUUCACUAAGGAUUGUGCUUCUAGAUUACGCGAAUGUCUAUCCCAAUUACGAAGCAGUUGAUCCGGCACCGGCUACGGACAUUCCGAAUAAUUUCAAACAGUGUGGAUUGAAGCGGAAUAACAAAAGAAAACGACACGAAAAAAAGUGCUAAAUUAAGUGAAAUUAAAGAAAACGAUAAAAAUACAAUAAAACUUACCAUAUUGACCAUUAAUUUCAAUGUAUAAAUAUAUGUUUUACAGUACAAUUUAGUGGAGAAAAAAAAUAAAUACAAUGAAAAUACAAUGAAUCAUACUGUAGUUAUUAUUUAUUUCAAUGUACGAAUAUAGUUUAAACCGUACUAUUUAGUAUGGAAAAAUCCAUGAAGAACUGUGAAUCUACUGUGCAAACCAUUGUAAUGGUUACUGUUUUUAUUAUAAAUGUAUGAUGUUUUCUAUGGUAAGGGUAAUUUUUUGGACGGAAAAGGCAUCAAUGAAAAUACGGUAGAAUAUAUAGUUUUUGGUUUUUUUUUGUAUGGGGAAAAGUCGAAAUUUUUAUGGUGACUGUGCCUAACAAUACCCCUUUUUUAUAGUAAUUUCCCAAAAUAAGAUAUGUUCUAUGGUGAAAAAACAUAAAGGCUACUGUAGAAUCAUGGUAAAAAUAACCAUAGAAUUUAUCGUGUGAUAACCAUAAAAUCUACUGUUGGUUUAUAGUAAAACUUUAUGCGGGAUCCCGCAUAAAGUUUUACUAUAAACCAACAGUAGAUUUUAUGGUUAUCACACGAUAAAUUCUAUGGUUAUUUUUACCAUGAUUCUACAGUAGCCUUUAUGUUUUUUCACCAUAGAAUAUAUCUUAUUUUGAGAAUUUACUAUAAAAAAGGGGUAUUCCCGCAUAAAGAUUUCUGAUGAACUUACAGUAAAUUUUAACGUUACAAAACGAUAAAAUAUAUUGUCAUUUUGACAGUGUUUUAACAGUAGACAGCAUCGUUUUUUAAGAUAAUUUGCGUCGUAUUUUGGGAUUUUACCAUAAAAAAGGGGGGUUGUUAUGCACCGGUACCAUAAAAAUUUCGAAAUUUUUCCAUACAUUUUUUUACCAAAUACGACGCAUUUUACUGUUAAUCUAAUGUUGCAUUUUUCAUCCAAAAACUCGUCCUGACUAUAGAAAUCAUCAUACAUUAAUAAUAAAAACAGCAAGCAUUACAAUGCAUUGCACAGUCAAUUUACAGUUCUUCAUGGUUUUUUAUCUAGUAAAUGAUGCGGUAAAAACUAUAUGCGGACAAUAAAACUAAUAAGCAUUACAAUGAAUUACACAGUAAAAUUAUAAUUCUUUAUGGUUUAUUCCCCACUAAAUACUACUGUGAAAACUAUUUUCGGACAUUAAAAUAAAUAGUAAAUAAAGUAAAUUUUACAGUAGUUUUAUUGUUAUUCAUAGUAUGUUAUUUAUAUUCAACAUUGAACCACUUUGUUUAUUUGUUCAUGAAUUGUUAACGCCUUCUUCAGCUUUUUGCAAAUCGCCAAAAGGAAUCCUUCCACGACGUUUUCUUUCGCUUUCGAUUCCGUUUGAAACCCUCGAUCGAGACCGGUUCCUGUUCCCCCUCGGGUGGGUGAUGCCGUGGUGUGUUCAGUCUGUCCGCCGGUACCUUUUGUCGACUGGAGACUCCGGAUUGAUUUGCUGGUAUUAAUAAAUGAGAAGACAAUUAAGUUAAGAAAAAUCUUAAUUUAAAUAAUCAAAAUCUGGGGGAUGAGACGAGAGAAUGCGUAACGUGAUUUUCGAAUGAGCACAAGCGUGACUUUUUCUUUGCACUUGAAUAAUUUGUUUUGAAAUCUUCUGUGCGCAUUUUUUUCCAAGUUUUCGGAAGACAAAUAACUGCGUCAGAAGUGGGUGAAGUUUUGCGAAGUCGGUUUGGAACAAAAUGUAAGCAAGAGCUCUAAGAAGUACAGUGCCCAUUUUGAGACAAAGUACAAGUCUUAAUAAAUAACGUUUUGUACUAGAAAAAGCGAAUCGUGCCCACAAUUCGGGCGGAAUCAAUUGUUGGAGACGACCUCCGGAUGAGCACUGAAAAGGGAGAAAUAGCCAGUAGGAAGUGGGUUCAUUGGAGAAAGAAUGGCUCUACGACGACUUUACUGGUAAUGGUUAUGGUGAUUCGGAGAAUAAUUACAAAAGGUUCGCUAUAUCAAAAGAAAAAGAAAAUCAACAAACCAUAUUUGGUUUUUACAAUAAUUUCCCUAAUGAAUGAUUACAAUACUUGCUGCUUCUGGCGAACAGUAAAAUGGCUCCGCUUUGCAGUUCAAAACGGUUCCGCUUUUGAACCGCUCUAUUCACCCCCCCAGAUCAAAAUUCUCAGAUUUUAUUCUGAGAUUCUUAAAUGCUUUUAUUCAAGAUAUUUAAACAAAAACUUUGGUUAUUAAAUUUAAAAUUUAUUUAAGCCCUUUAUUUUAAAUUUCUCAAAUUAUCAAAUCAAAUGCAGACUGUAUUUGAAUUUUUGAACCCACAGUUUCUAAUUUAAUUUUUUAUACCGUCGUUUUUUAAUUUUGUAUUUUCAGGAUUUGGGAGUUUUGAAAUUGUAGAAUUUCAAUUUGCUUUAAAUUUUUAAAUUUUCUUUUUUCAAGUUUUGAAAAAAAAUAUUUAAAUGUAUAAUUUUCAAAUGUUUAAAUUGCUAAAUUUCAAAAUCUAAGAUAUCUUAACUUUUGAAUUCUUCAUUUCGUUGAUCAAGCUUCCGUGUCCCGUAAUCAAAUAGCUCCGCACCGUUGCAAAUG